rnacentral:rRNA from 1 species
CCUACGGGAGGCAGCAGUGGGGAAUAUUGCACAAUGGGGGAAACCCUGAUGCAGCGACGCCGCGUGAAGGAAGAAGUAUUUCGGUAUGUAAACUUCUAUCAGCAGGGAAGAAAAUGACGGUACCUGACUAAGAAGCCCCGGCUAACUACGUCCCAGCAGCCGCGGUACUACGUAGGGGGCAAGCGUUAUCCGGAUUUACUGGGUGUAAAGGGAGCGUAGGCGGUUUAGCAAGUCAGAAGUGAAAGCCCGGGGCUCAACUCCGGGACUGCUUUUGAAACUGUUGAACUAGAUUGCAGGAGAGGUAAGUGGAAUUCCUAGUGUAGCGGUGAAAUGCGUAGAUAUUAGGAGGAACACCAGUGGCGAAGGCGGCUUACUGGACUGUAAAUGACGCUGAGGCUCGAAAGCGUGGGGAGCAAACAGGAUUAGAUACCCCUGUAGUC